AACGAACGCUGGCGGCAGGCUUAACACAUGCAAGUCGAGCGCCCCGCAAGGGGAGCGGCAGACGGGUGAGUAACGCGUGGGAAUCUACCCAUCUCUACGGAAUAACGCAUGGAAACGUGUGCUAAUACCGUAUACGUCCUUCGGGAGAAAAAUUUAUCGGAGAUGGAUGAGCCAGCGUUGGAUUAGCUAGUUGGUGGGGUAAAGGCCUACCAAGGCGACGAUCCAUAGCUGGUCUGAGAGGAUGAUCAGCCACACGGGGACUGAGACACGGCCCAGACUCCUACGGGAGGCAGCAGUGGGGAAUAUUGGACAAUGGGCGCAAGCCUGAUCCAGCCAUGCCGCGUGAGUGAUGAAGGCCCUAGGGUUGUAAAGCUCUUUCACCGGUGAAGAUAAUGACGGUAACCGGAGAAGAAGCCCCGGCUAACUUCGUGCCAGCCGCCGCCGUAAGAC
rnacentral:rRNA from 1 species